UUGCCUUGUACACACCGCCCGUCACACCAUGAGAGUUUGUAACACCCAAAGUCGGUGGGGUAACCUUUUAGGAGCCAGCCGCCUAAGGUGGGACAGAUGAUUAGGGUGAAGUCGUAACAAGGUAGCCGUAGGAGAACCUGCGGCUGGAUCACCUCCUUUCUAAGGAAUUAAUCGGAAACCUACACAUUGUCGAAACUUUGUUUAGUUUUGAGAAC
rnacentral:misc_RNA from 1 species